rnacentral:rRNA from 1 species
UACAGAGGGUGCAAGCGUUAAUCGGAAUUACUGGGCGUAAAGCGUGCGUAGACGGUUAUCUAAGUCGGGUGUGAAAGCCCCGGGCUCAACCUGGGAAUUGCAUUCGAGACUGAAUAGCUAGGGUACGGAAGAGGGAAGCGGAAUUUCAGGUGUAGCGGUGAAAUGCGUAGAUAUCUGAAGGAACACCAGCGGCGAAAGCGGCUUCCUGGUCCAGUACCGACGUUCAGGCACGAAAGCGUGGGGAGCAAACAGG